rnacentral:rRNA from 1 species
CCUACGGGCGGCAGCAGUGGGGAAUAUUGCACAAUGGGGGAAACCCUGAUGCAGCGACGCCGCGUGAAGGAAGAAGUAUUUCGGUAUGUAAACUUCUAUCAGCAGGGAAGAAAAUGACGGUACCUGACUAAGAAGCACCGGCUAACUACGUGCCAGCAGCCGCGGCAAUACGUAGGCGGCAAGCGUUAUCCGGAUUUACUGGGUGUAAAGGGUGCGUAGGCGGUGCAGCAAGUCAGAAGUGAAAGCCCGUGGCUAAACUCCGGGACUGCUUUUGAAACGGUUGAACUAGAUUGCAGGAGAGGUAAGUGGAAUUCCUAUUGUAGCGGUGAAAUGCGUAGAUAUUAGGAGCAACACCAGUGGCGAAGGCGGCUUACUGGACUGUAAAUGACGCUGAGGCUCGAAAGCGUGGGGAGCAAACAGGAUUAGAUACCCGAGUAGUC